rnacentral:rRNA from 1 species
UGCGUAGGCGGAAUGAUAAGUUAGUGGUGAAAGCCCCCAGCUCAACUGGGGAACUGCCAUUAAUACUGUCGUUCUUGAGUAUAGUUGAAGUGGGCGGAAUGUAUCAUGUAGCGGUGAAAUGCUUAGAUAUGAUACAGAACACCGAUAGCGAAGGCAGCUUGCUAAACUAUAACUGACGCUAAGGCACGAAAGCGUGGGGAGCAAACAGGAUUAGAUACCCUGGUAGUCC